UUCAGCUGAUUAUUAGGAGAUUAGUUUUGUUUUAGUCAUUAUCCUAUUAACUAGUAAUAGUUGUUCCUAUUUUAUAGGCAUGUUAGCAGUCUUUUAGCAGUCCAUGUUCUGUGUACUGCCCCUCUACUUAUUUAAUCAACUUGAAGUUCAAUAAAAAAUUACUUCAGAUUUCAAUUCAUCUUGCUGUUUCAGUUAAAUUAUCA
rnacentral:lncRNA from 1 species